rnacentral:lncRNA from 1 species
CUAACUUGCCCCCGAUUUGCCCAAAGAGGGACAAAGGCCAGGGAAGCUGCUGGCAAGUGUAAGGGAAAUGCUUUUGUUCAGGAGAGAUCCUAGCCAAAGCUCCUAGGAAUUUUUCCAAGCCCAGCCCUUAGGAAUUUGCCUGGGUGGAGUUAUUCACACCAGAGAUGUCAGGCAGGUUUAGACCCAUGGGUUCCUCUCUGGCUUUCCAAGCAGCCAAGAGCGACAUUUCCCAAAUCCAGGACACAAGUGCCAGUAAGAGCAGUCCAGUCACUGCACACCCUAAAUGACCAGAUAUCCCAUUUUAUUGUCACCAAGUCAAAGGCGCUGGAGGAGGACCAAGACCCUUUUCUUCCCACUGAGAAGGAGACGCUCAAGAGUUCCAUGAUAUUGAUGAGGCACCUCUUAAUGGAUGCUCAGGUGAGCCUAGGAUGAUAAGAACUGUGGGGAAGGGAGAACCACUGACCUUGAAACUUUUGAAGAUGAUUGGUUCCCUGAACUUGAUCCAGGCUUAUGGUCUGUGACAGACACUGCAGGCUUAUUCACCCAACACCCACAUCUGCUCUGGG